AUUGAACGCUGGCGGCAGGCCUAACACAUGCAAGUCGAGCGAGCGGCGGACGGGUGAGUAAUGUAUGGGAAACUGCCCGAUAGAGGGGGAUAACUACUGGAAACGGUGGCUAAUACCGCAUACUAUCGGAUGAACCCAUAUGGGAUUAGCUAGUAGGUGGGGUAAAGGCUCACCUAGGCGACGAUCUCUAGCUGGUCUGAGAGGAUGAUCAGCCACACUGGGACGUAGAAACGGCCCAGACUCCUACGGGAGGCAGCAGUGGGGAAUAUUGCACAAUGGGCGAAAGCCUGAUGCAGCCAUGCCGCGUGUAUGAAGAAGGCCUUAGGGUUGUAAAGUACUUUCAGCGGGGAGGAGUUACCCGCAGAAGAAGCACCGGCCAACUCCGUGCCAGCAGCCGCGGUAAUUC
rnacentral:rRNA from 1 species